rnacentral:lncRNA from 1 species
AUACCUCAGGCACAGGGGAGCCAGAAGCCUUGCAGUCAACUUGGAAAUCUUUCCCAUGGAGUACUUGCUUCUUAAAAUGCUGCUUGUGUUCAAUUUUGGCAGGUGUCAGUCUUAGGCGGACAUGCAUCAGGACCAGGUCAUCUCCCAUUUUGUUUCUUGCCACACAUAAGUAGUCACCACCAUCCUUUUCUGUCACCGAUCCAAUAACCAAGGAGCCAUUUGGGUAGACAUGGAUCCGGCUGCCCAUUCUAAGGAGAGAAGAGACAAGCGUGAGAAUGCAGCGGGGAGAAUUGGGGCUUAGGAGAUGACUCAGUUGGGAAGCUGCCUAGUGCACAAUUUUCAGACCUGAAUUUGGAUCUCCAGCGCCCACAAAGAGUUAGGCAAGGUGGUCACAUCCAUACCCCCAGAAUGGACACAGCUGGCCCCCGGAGCUUGCUCGACAGCUGGUGUACCUGAAAGUACCUACAGCUCUAGGCUCAGUGAGAGGCCCUCCUGAGAGUAAGGUGGAAGCAAUUGUGUAAGACCCCAAUGCUUAUUUACUUCUGGCCACCACACAUGCACACACCAAAAUGAACGAGCAUACCUUGCACAAACACAUAAAAAGACUAAAUAUUGUCACCAAUGUAGACACAUUUACAGAAUAUUAUACUAUGUAGAAGCAGCCUUAUUUAUAGGAUGUUACUUCCCUCCAGCCUUACUAAGAGCUGACUGGCACAGUUGUACAUACAUGUAAGUAAUUUAGUAGGAAAUUGUGACACAUAGAUAAAAUGAAAAUGAUUAUCACGAUCAAGCUCAUCACCUUGUCACCUUUCCUUCUUCCUCUUCUUCUCUCCCUCUCCCUUUCCCUUUUCCUCCCCCUCUCCUCCUCUUUCCUUCCCUCUCUCUCUCUAACAUGGCAUUAUCUUUAUGGAUUAUUUUUUAAAGCUGUUAAAAUGAAGACCAAAGUCACUUAUUGUUAUCUAAGCCAUUUGCUUAAAAAAGCUUUGUAACAAAGCAUAAUUUGCUGGAGACAGUAUUAUUUUCGAAAUGGCCUUCAAUCAGCUCUUUUUUAUACAACUUUUAGAAACAGCUCACUGGUGAGAAGGAUGCUGGAAGUAGCCAGUUCUUAAGACAUUUUAUAUAUCAAAUGGAUCCACAAAAAUAGCAUAUCCUGCUAAUGAAAAACAACUCGAGGGUAUGUGCUGAGUUAAUGCCUGAUGCUAAUUUUUAAAUGUGUUAACGAAGCAACUUUUUAGUUAUUUAACUAGAAGCAAUCUGUCCAUUGCCUGCUGCAGAGGACAGCAUUCUAGGAUGAAUUAGAAGUUGAAUCACCUGCUGCGUAAUUGACACAGUUGACCACCAGGUGGCAGACCCUAGCUUUAGUGUUAAGAACAUGCUCAAACACACCUGUGUUUUUCCCCCUUUCUUUUGACAACAUGAGGUAAACAGAAUACUUGGAGCUCAGGCUUCAAGGCAAGAAUGUUUGAGAAGUGAUGUGGGGUAGGUCUAGGCAUUGGUGUUCUGGCGUGAUGGUUAUGUGUAGCAGACACUAAGGACUAAAGCCCUAAAUGUUGGUUCUUGACAGUCCCUCCCUUAAACUGUGUUACACUGUAUGGGACCAGACUUACGCACAUUGCUUGGUUUCUCGUAACAGUGAUUCAGAUAGAGCUGGUCAGGGACAUUGACCUCGUGCUUAGGAAAAUUCUCAAGUUGCUUACAUGGGCCAUUAAGUUUGAGACCCAGACUCAAAUUCUAGUGUGCAUCACAAUUACCUGAGGGGCUUCUAAGAACACAGACUCUUUAUCAAAACAAUCCCUGCUUCUGAUUCAAGUUCUUGGUUAAUAUUAAUGAUACUGGUAAAGAGGCAACCUUAAAAAAAAAAAACCUAAGGUGACAAGCCUCAAAUCUGAUCCACCAUCGUUACAAUAUGUAACAUCCUCCAUUAACCAACACUUGAAGAAUAGUGACAUAAGAAAAGGCUUAUCUGCUUCGGAGAGGGCUGGGAACUACCAAGUAGCUUUGAAGUAAAAAAACUUCAAAAAGAGACAAAACAUCAGUUUGACAAGACUGUCUUUCCUUCAGCUGUCAACUUGGCAAGGCCUAAAAUUAACUGAGAGUCUCAAUUGGUGGGUUUUUGCAUACUACACUGGCCUGUGAAUAUGUCUGUGCAGGAUUGUGUUGAUUGACAAAGGGAUACCAGCCCUCCCUAGUUGACACCAUCCCUAAACAUUUUGGUCUGACCUGUGUAAGAAAUCUAGCAGAACAUGAUUCAGUAAGCAAGCAAGCAGCAUGUCUUCAUGCUCCUUCUUCAAGUUCCUGCCUUGAGUCUGCCUUGAGUUCCAACUGUGAGUUCUCUCAAUGUUGGACUAUAACCUGUAAGCUGAAAUAAGCCCUCUCUUCCCCUGAAUUGUCUUUGGUCAUAGUGUUUGUCACAGCACCAAGAAUAAGCUAGGACAAAGGUGAUAUAACAGGUAUAAAUAUAUGCACUUGAUAUGGUACCACCUGGAUAUAUAAUAUAUAAUAUUAUUAGAUAUAAUAUUAGAUCUAAGGAAUUAAGUUCAAUGCAAUGAUAGUAGAUAUGUCAAUAUUUAAUUUUUAAUAUACAUAUAUACAUAGAAAAACAUAUACAUAUAUGUAUAUACAUACACAUAUAUACGGAAAAACUAAGAAAAACCUGAGUUGGACCACACUAUAGAGAAAACUGAUCUAAUACACUUUUAAGGAUACUUCAUUCAACCAGUGUAACACACAGUCAUAUCAUCAGCACAUGGAAUUUUCUCUAGGUGAGUUCACAUGUCAAGUGUCAAAUUUUUAAAAAUUUAAAUUUUAUUGUAUUUCUUUUCAGACAAGUGAAAUUCAUUAAGAAUGAAAAGCCAUAUAGUAAAGUGGAAAUUAAAUAACAUGCUACUAAGUGGACAGAAGGCAAUUGAAACUUAAAAGAGAAUUGUAAGAACAUUAAAAUUGCAACAAACUAUCAAAACUGUAUGAUAGAAAAAUCAGUAUUGAGAAAAAUUUAUAACAUGAUAUGCAAUCUUAAUAAAAAGUUUUCAAACACAGGAUCCUCAAGGACUUAGGGAAAC